rnacentral:rRNA from 1 species
AUUGAACGCUGGCGGCAUGCCUUACACAUGCAAGUCGAACGGCAGCACGGGAGCAAUCCUGGUGGCGAGUGGCGAACGGGUGAGUAAUACAUCGGAACGUGCCCAGUAGUGGGGGAUAGCCCGGCGAAAGCCGGAUUAAUACCGCAUACGACCUACGGGUGAAAGCGGGGGAUCGCAAGACCUCGCGCUAUUGGAGCGGCCGAUGGCAGAUUAGCUUGUUGGUGGGGAAAGGCCUACCAAGGCUACGAUCUGUAGCUGGUCUGAGAGGACGACCAGCCACACUGGGACUGAGACACGGCCCAGACUCCUACGGGAGGCAGCAGUGGGGAAUUUUGGACAAUGGCGCAAGCCUGAUCCAGCCAUGCCGCGUGCGGGAAGAAGGCC